UUCACGGUAUUGCAAUGAGAACAAUUUAAAACCCUUAGCGAGAAUCAAGUGGAGGACAAGUCUGGUGCCAGCACCCGCGGUAAUUCCAGCUCCACUAGCGUAUAUUAAAGUUGUUGCAGUUAAAAAGCUCGUAGUUGAACUUCUGUCUGGGGCUAGUUUUGGCUUUGGUCAGGCUAGUUCUAGGCAUCCGCCUACAAGACUUAGAGGGCAUUCAGUUGUUCACUAGGAGGAGUAGGCAUUUUACUUUGAAAAAAUUAGAGUUUUUAAGGCAGGCAAUCGCCCGCAUAUAUUAGCAUGGAAUAAUAGAAUAGGACACUUUUCCAUUUCGUUGGUUAUUGGAAUCGUGUAAUGAUUAAUAGGGACAGUUGUGGGCAUUUGUAUUUAAUUGUCAGAGGUGAAAUUCUUGGAUUUAUUAAAGACAAACUAACGCGAAAGCAUUUGCCAAGGAUGUUUUCAUUAAUCAAGAACGAAAGUUAGGGGAUCAAAGACGAUCAGAUACCGUCCUAGUCUUAACUAUAAACUAUUCCGACUCAAUGUUUGACUGGCUCAUAUAACCAGUUGAGCGUUGUAUGAGAAAUCAAAGUCUUUAGGUUCUGGGGGGAGUAUGGUUGCAAAGCUGAAACUUAAAGGAAUUGACGGAAGAGCACAACCAGGAGUGGAUUCUGCGGCUUAAUUUGACUCAACACGGGGAAACUUACCAGGUUAAAACAAUAGUGGGAUUGACAGUUUGAGAGCGCUUUCAGAUUGGUUGGGUGGUGGUGCAUGGCCGUUCUUAGUUGGUGGAGUGAUUUGUCUGCUUAAUUGCGUUAACGAACGAGACCUUAACCUGCUUACUAGACUGGCGAUCAUCAAUCGUUAGCUCUUCUUAGAGGGACUUUGGUUGUUUUAACUCCAAGGAAGUUUGAGGCAAUAACAGGUCUGUGAUGCCCUUAGAUAUCCUGGGCCGCACGCGGCAUACAAUGACUAGUUCAGAAAGUUUUCUCCUGACCCGAAAGGGGAUGGGUAAUCUUGAUAAUACUAGUCGUGUUAGGGAUCGAUCUUUGCAAUUAUAGAUCUUGAACGAGGAAUUCCUAGUAAGUGCGGUUCAUCAGACCGUACUGAUUACGUCCCUGCUCUUUGUACACACCGCCCGUCGCUUCUACCGAGUGGGUGGUCCGGUGAGAUAAUUGAACUUCGCAGGUAACUGAGAGGAAAGAUUAUCAAACCUAUCCACCU
rnacentral:rRNA from 1 species